rnacentral:misc_RNA from 1 species
AAGUCGUAACAAGGUUUCCGUAGGUGAACCUGCGGAAGGAUCAUUACAGAAUAAACCUGAUAAGUUGUAGCUGGCCCACUUCUGUGCGCAUGUGCUCGCUUGUCACUUUUAUCCAUCCACCAUGUGCACUAUGCAUAGGUCUGAAGCAUUCAGUCAGAGCUUGCUUUGGUUGUUGGGAAUCUGCUAUUGGAACAUAUGGCUUUUUCUGACUUCAGUACCUAUGAUUUAUCUAAAUACACCAAUGUAUGUUUGAAGAACGUUUAACUAGGCCUUCAAAGCCUAUAAAUUUAUAAUACAACUUUCAGCAACGGAUCUCUUGGCUCUC